CCUCUGUCUUGGCGGGUCUUCUUGUUGUCAAAGAAGUUCCGAAUGCUUACAGAGGGAUAUAAAAGGAUGUUGGGUCUCUUGCCUUCGGUGCCUGCUCCCCAUUAGCCCCCUUGGGAAUGGAUUGAGCAGGUCCCAUCCUCGACGGGCCCUACAAGC